GACGAACGCUGGCGGCGUGCUUAACACAUGCAAGUCGAACGGAAAGGCCCUGCUUUUGUGGGGUGCUCGAGUGGCGAACGGGUGAGAACACGUGAGUAACCUGCCCUUGACUUUGGGAUAACUUCAGGAAACUGGGGCUAAUACCGGAUAGGAGCUCCUGCUGCAUGGUGGGGGUUGGAAAGUUUCGGCGGUUGGGGAUGGACUCGCGGCUUAUCAGCUUGUUGGUGGGGUAGUGGCUUACCAAGGCUUUGACGGGUAGCCGGCCUGAGAGGGUGACCGGCCACAUUGGGACUGAGAUACGGCCCAGACUCCUACGGGAGGCAGCAGUGGGGAAUAUUGCACAAUGGGCUGAAGCCUGAUGCAGCAACGCCGCGUGCGGGAUGACGGCCUUCGGGUUGUAAACCGCUUUCGCCUGUGACGAAGCGUGAGUGACGGUAAUGGGUAAAGAAGCACCGGCUAACUACGUG
rnacentral:rRNA from 1 species